rnacentral:rRNA from 1 species
CAGUCUUUGGAUGACCUCGGAUCAGGUAGGGAUACCCGCUGAACUUAA